CUUACUUCACUUAGAAUGACAAUCUCCAGGGAUAUAGUUCUAAAUACUUAUAGGACCAAAGAAAGAUACUGUGAUAUUGUGACUUAUAAGAAAUAUAUAUUUGGUCAUGAUCAAAUAUGUAUUUCUUAUAUAUAUUUGGUCUUUAUCCAUAGUUCCUGGUCACAGCUUUCAAAACCCUUGGAAUUUCCCAAGUGCUGAGAGUGAUGAAGAUAUCUUUUGUUAUAUAAAUGAGGUGACUUUUGGAAGCACCUAAAGAAAGAUUCUGCUGAUCACCAGGAGAACCAACCAUUUGGUUAGAAGAUUGGAACUUUUCAGUCCUAUCCCCUGACCUCUGAGGCUGGAGAUUGAGCUCAAAUGCCAAUAACCAAUGACUUAAUCAACCUGCCUAUGAUAUGAAGCCUCUAUAGAACCCCAAAAGGUUUCUAGGAAAAUGGUGCUAAGAGUUUACUCAGCAGAUCUGAGUGACUCUCAGACCGGCAGAUCAUUCUGGCAUGACAGAUGGAUGUGACUGUUUUAGCAGAGGCACCAUAUAGCUUAUGAAGCCCAACCAUAAUAACCUGCCUCCAAGCCUGGACUACUCCCACGGACAUGUAAACUUUAUGUUCAGCUGCUGAGAGUAAUCAUAAUAUGUUGUUAUGUUGUUUUUAAAAUCACAGAAUUGUUUUAUGACCUUGAAAUUUCCCUUUUCUGUAAAUGUGGGUAAUUUCUUUAAAACUAUGUCAUAAGUUAAUGAUAUUAAUUAGGUAAUCUUUGCUAGCCAUGAGACUAGUAAUUCUGUAAACUAGAAGCUUAUAAAUGAGUUUCUUUUUAUUCUAAGUGUCUUAAAAAUAUCUGGAAGGACUUCUGACAGUUACUUUGAUUUGAGGUCAUACAUGUAGAAUUUUGGAGUAUGUACUACGUAUGUUUAGUUGUGUUGGAUAUCACUGUUACUGUGUAAACUAUACCCUGCUGUACUUACUGAUUGACUUAAAUAUUUUCCUAAAAGGUUACAGUGUAAAUUUUGGAUUGGAAGAAAGAGGCAUGCAAGGUACAUGUACAUAUUGUACAAGACUUUGAGGGGUAAAAACUAUGUGUACUUUCUCAUGGACAGAAAUAUUGGGAAAAUACCAUUCCUUUGGAUAGAUCAAGCUAUCUAGUUAAUAAAGUAACUUCAGCAUUGUUCUUAUAACCUUA